rnacentral:rRNA from 1 species
CCUACGGGAGGCAGCAGUCGAGAAUCUUUCACAAUGGGGGAAACCCUGAUGGUGCGACGCCGCGUGGGGGAAUGAAGGCCUUCGGAUUGUAAACUGCUUUAGACAGGGAAGAAAACAGACAGUACAUGUAGUCUCAGCUUCGGCUAACUACGUGCCAGCAGCCGCGGUAAUACGGAGGGAGCAAGCGUUAUCCGGAUUCAUUGGGUGUAAAGGGUGCGUAGACGGAGAAGCAAGUUAGUUGUGAAAUCCCUCGGCUUAACUGAGGAACUGCAACUAACACUACUACCCUUGAGUACUGUAGAGGUAAGUGGAAUUCCUAGUGUAGCGGUGAAAUGCGUAGAUAUUAGGAAGAACACCAGUGGCGAAGGCGACUUUCUGGACAGUAACUGACGUUGAGGCACGAAAGUGUGGGGAGCAAACAGGAUUAGAUACCCCGGUAGUC